rnacentral:rRNA from 1 species
UACGGAGGGUGCGAGCGUUGUCCGGAAUCACUGGCGUAAAGGGCGCGUAGGUGGCCCGUUAAGUGGCUGGUGAAAUCCCGCGGCUCAACUGCGGGGCUGCCGGUCAUACUGGCGAGCUAGAGCACGGUAGGGGCAGAUGGAAUUCCCGGUGUAGCGGUGGAAUGCGUAGAGAUCCGGAAGAACACCGGUGGCGAAGGCGGUCUGCUGGGGUAAUGCUGACACUGAUGCGCGACAGCGUGGGGAGCAAACAGG